GCGGGAGGGAAAUGGUGUUGGUAUGGUCUGAGAGGUUUUACAAUCAUUUGGUACACAUCGGAAAAUACAAGUUUGAAACUUACAGUCCCGUUUUUGCAGCAAACGGGAAUAUGCCUCGUUGAGUAAUCGGCCCGAAAACCAGUGAUCAAUACCAAAGCCUUGUUGCCUGUGGAGCGGGUGAUGUCUGACUUCCUUGUACAGCUGCAGUUUGUAUGGUGAAGGUGCUCCCACAACGUGGUUGGGCCUGCGACAAUGAGA